UACGUAGGGCGCAAGCGUUAUCCGGAAUUAUUGGGCGUAAAGAGCUCGUAGGCGGUUUGUCGCGUCUGCUGUGAAAGACCGGGGCUCAACUCCGGUUCUGCAGUGGGUACGGGCAGACUAGAGUGCAGUAGGGGAGACUGGAAUUCCUGGUGUAGCGGUGAAAUGCGCAGAUAUCAGGAGGAACACCGAUGGCGAAGGCAGGGUCUCUGGGCAUUAACUGACGCUGAGGAGCGAAAAGCAUGGGGAGCGAACAGG
rnacentral:rRNA from 1 species